GACGAACGCUGGCGGCGUGCUUAAUACAUGCAAGUCGAACGGAACGGCCCUGCUUUGUUGGGGUGCUCGGGUGGCGAACGGGGGAGUAACACGUGAGUAACCUGCCCUUGACUUUGGGAAAACUUCAGGAAACUGGGGCUAAUACCGGGUAGGAGCUCCUGAGGAAUGGUGGGGGUUGGAAAGUUUCGGCGGUUGGGGAUGGGCUCGCGGCGUAUCAGAUUGUUGGUGGGGUAGUGGCUUACCUAGGCUUUGACGGGUAGCAGGCCUGAGAGGGUUGCAGGACACACUGGGAUUGAGAUGCGGCCCAGACCACAACGGGAGGCAAGAGAGGGGAAUAUUGUACAAGGGGAGGAGGCCAGGUCCAGCAGCGCAGCGUGGGGGAUGACAGCAUGCGGGUUGUAAACCGCUUUGGCCUGUGACGAAGAGUGAGUGACGGUACUGGGUAAAGAAGCCCCGGCUAACUACGUG
rnacentral:rRNA from 1 species